ACUUCCGCCGAGAGCUCGGAGCUCGGGUUUGCCUGGCCGCCCCCAAGAUCCCCUUUCCCACCCACCCACGGCUGCGUUGGCUUCGGGGCUCCGGGGAAACCCUCCCGCCUGCUGCUGACGUCGCUGCCGGGGCCGGGCCAAGGUUCCGGGCGGACCUCGCAGGCACAGUUUCCACAGAGAGCAACGUCAACACAGGUACGGAGACUGACGGACCAGAGGGAGUUAGCUCCAGCAGUUGUGGGCGCUGGCAAGUCCAAAAUCUGCAGGGCAGGCUGGCAGGCAGGAGACCCAGGGGAGAGCAAGUGUUGCAGCUCAAGAUAUCCUGAAAGUUGGAAUGAUCAAAUGACCUCUAAGAGUCUCCCAGCUCUAAAAUUCAAUGGUUUAAGUGUUGUUUAAAAGCUUCCUUCUAUUUAGCUAAAAUGUCCUCCCCAGUGGACACCGCAGUGUUGGGACCAGCUGUGACCUGCUGGGACUGUCUAGUUCACACGAUUCCUACAGUAGAAGAGUCCAGAAAAGGGAGAUGUUACCCAAGGUAAGGCUCAGACUCAGCGAGAGGCCAGCCUGACGCUGGAACUUCCCUUUGAAGGAGGUUAGUCACUCAGGGCUUCAUUCUGGAGCACAGAUGCCAAUCAAAUGACAGGACCGGAUAUUUGGGAAUUGACUAUAGCCCAGUACAAGGAAGGCUUUUCCUUUAAACAAUGGCAUUUGCCAAGAAAAAAUAAAAUGCCACAUAAGACUUUUCUCUCGGGAAAUAAAAAUAGCCUUGGGCAUGACUGAGACACUGGUCACCCUGAGCCACGUCUGUAACAGGUUCAGAGAGUGUCUCCCAAGUUAGAGCUCUGGGUGUUGGCUGCCUUUUCCUGGAGGGCUCAUCCAGGCACCACCGUAAGGCUGGUCUCCAGAACCUACCACUUCAGCCUGCUGCUGGCCGUUUAGUAACACAUACGUGUUAACCGAGGACCCCCUCCCCGGAAAUUGUCUUAAAGAAGAAACCCAGGAAGAACAGCAUUCCAACAGGUGUGCUCUCCUCUAGCCGCUGAGCCCACCUGCAGGCAAACAGGAAGGGCCUCAGGAUUAGUCUCCUUUGAAGGGCGGAGCUGAAAGGAGAGUAUAAAAUCGGGAAAGUUUUAAUACUCUCCUGCAGGAUCGGAGGCCCAGGUCUCCAUGCUCCAGGCAGACAGUGUCCUGGUGUCCUUGCAGCCUUGAACUGGAGAACGUGCUGUGUGGUGUUGGGCCUUACAGUGGGCAUCUGCCAGGACUGGUGCCCUACACGCAUCCCCAGGCUGAGUGCUGCUCCUUCUGUGGGGAGAAGUAAGAGUGUGAGGGCUUUACAGCAGACUGACAGCAAACCGGCCCGAUGAGCCGAGUGAAAUGAAGACGGAGCCUGUGAAAAGGACAAGGGCCCCAAAGAUGGAGCAUGAGCGAGGGAGUUGCGUACAAGCCUCCAGGGCAGAGGGCCUGUCUGAGGCGCUUCAGGCCACAUAAGAAGAAGGAGGAGCAGGCCGGCCCAGGCAGCGGGGAUUGUGGAGGGGACAGGGACACCUAGGAAUGAGUGUGGAAAGAGCAAAUCCAGCAGCACAUUCAUCCUGGUGGGGAAGGAAGCCACGCUCCCACACGUCAAAACUAACAAAAAACCAGGAGGAAGAAGAGGGUGCCGAUAAAGAGAAAAGCGUAAUUAGUUAAAUAAGUCAGAAAGCAUAACAUUAAUAAAACUGAAAACCAGUUGUUGAAAAAGAUCAAUGAGACAAACUUCUGAGCAGACUCCUUAAGGAAAAGAUAGACGCCAAAACCCACUCAACGCCGAGGACAGGACCACAGAUGUGCCCGGAAGUGGCAGGAGCACAGGGACACCAUGUGCCUAAGUAAGGAAACUCCCCAGGACAUGGUGACUUCCUAGCAAGGCAGCCUGUGGAGCUAGACGGCAGAACAGACUGGAGCUGUCACAGUGACACUGACACCAGACCCCGUGUGGGAGUUCCAGCCUGGUCCUGAUACGACCCAGCCCCGCCCCGCCUGGCAGCGACCUCCAGAGACCCGGGGCCAGGACCACUCGGCGGCUGCUCAAAUCUGACCCCACAGGCGAGACGGGGUGUCGUCUGAGCCUGAGUCUGGGGCAGUCUGUGUGGCAGCAACAGAUGACUGUGGAGAGAGUGACCCUGAGGCCAGAGCUGGAGCCACCGGACACCAUGGCCUGGAGUGGCCUCCUGGCGCCCUUGUCACAGAGGCUGAGCAGGUGACUCCAUCCAUCUCCUGAAUCUGAGACUCCAUGUAGUUUAACUUUUGAUAAUAACACGCCUGAGUACAAAGCAGAGUAUGUUUGCUGUAUAAUGUUGAGAAAAUACAAAAAUGAAACAGAAACUCAGAACUGGCAGUCUGCACUGGGGAGUCGGUGGGAGGCGCUCGGUUCUGACCCCCCAGCCGCCCGGCCGCCGUCAGGUAGACACAGUGAUGCCAACGCGGAGGACAGUCAGUGCUUUUGUAAAACAAGGUUUAUAAAAGCCGUUCACCGGGAUUCUGCCCCAUUUUGUAGGACAUUAGUAGGAGGGAACGGGAAAGCCCCCGUGACCCGUAGGCCAUGACCUCUACCCUUCCCUGCCCUUCCAGCACCGGGAGGAAGGCCCCACCCAUUCAGGAGGGGUGGGGUCCUCGUAAACCCCAUGCAGGGCUGAAGCCCACGUAACUGUAACUGGAGUGACCGAUAGCAAUGGUGGCGCACGUCUCAGGGACACCACCAUCCCAGCCUGGAAACAGCCGUGCGAGCACUGGCCCAGGCCGCAGCAGACGAGUACACGCCAGCCGUCGCAGCUGGCAGGGACCCUGGAGAUGUCAGACACAAAAGAGUGCAUGUCACGUGAUGCCGUGUGUAGAAAGUGUCCAGAACAGGCAAAUUGGUAGCGACAGCACCGGGCUCAU